GAUGAUGAGGAUGAUGAGGAUGUUUGUGAUCCAUUCCAUCCAUCUGCUUCCGCUGCCGACGCCAGGAUCCCGCUCACGUCACAAUCAGCUGUGACUCCAGACGUCACGAAGUUUUCCAGAGCGGCUGUCAGCGCGUGGAAACGUCUCCCACAGGCCGACACGUCACGCUGAGGAUCACCGCUUCACUGCGACAAGGCAGGACUCGAGCAAGGCACCGUGGACCACCAACACUGACACCCACUCUCUUGGCAGUCUCAGCUGUCCACCAAUCAAGGGUGUUUACCGCCGCCUGCCUCAUGAUGUCAUUCCCACUCCUGGUGCCAAACUAAUAACCACCAUAGACCCUGUCACUUUUCAAAGCUUAGAAAAUAAUCAGGUUGCUGGAGGAAUGCAGGGAGGCGUGGAGGAUCUGCCCAUAAAGUCUGCGGAGAACGAAGGAUUGACAGCGAGCAGGCAGACGGAGAUAAAAAUAAAACAAAGGAGCAGUGUCACUAAACUUUUUUUUUUUUUCUCAUUACUUUAGUAUCUCAUCUUUCAAAGGAGAGGUUGCUGAUGAUAUAUCUACUGGGACAUAUUCUUUUUUUGUUUCUGCUUGAACAGAUAAGCCUUCCUUAAAUAUGACAUGUUAAUCAAAUUCCAACAGUACAAAAGUAAAGUACGGCAUAAAGAUGAGGUUUAUUUUGUUGCUUGAGUUCAUAGAGAGUCUCUGAAACAGACAUCUGGUAGAAAUCUCUUGUAUUCAGCAUCAUAUGUUUUUUAAAACUUACUCAUAUUACUUUUCAUGUUGCAUCUGAUUCUCCUGCAUAUACUGUAUAUUUACAACUAGAGAUGUUCCAAUACUAUUUUCCCCUCCUGAUUCGUUUCUCUGUGUAUUGGCGGAUACUGAGUACUGAUCCAAAACCAGUGAAUAACAACUUAUAUAACAUAAGCUGUAUGCCUCGACCCUUGUAUACCCCAUACAGAAAUUAAUUGUGUAGAACUUAUUUUAUUAUAUAGUUUGUCAUUUAGUUAAUGUUCCUUAAACUACAUGCAUAUGGAGCAUUUCGCUGUUUUCCUUUUGGGACUUUCUUGUGGGAAAUUGCUGACAUUUUAGUUAGCUCUCAGUUUUUGGCCAUAUCAGUAUCUCUAUUGAUGCUGGUAUCAAAACAUCUCUAUUUACAACACACCCUUCUG